CCUACGGGGGGCAGCAGUGAGGAAUAUUGGUCAAUGGACGAGAGUCUGAACCAGCCAAGUAGCGUGAAGGAUGACUGCCCUAUGGGUUGUAAACUUCUUUUAUAUGGGAAUAAAAUGUUCCACGUGUGGGAUUUUGUAUGUACCAUAUGAAUAAGGAUCGGCUAACUCCGUGCCAGCAGCCGCGGUAAUACGGAGGAUCCGAGCGUUAUCCGGAUUUAUUGGGUUUAAAGGGUGCGUAGGUGGAUUGUUAAGUCAGUUGUGAAAGUUUGCGGCUCAACCGUAAAAUUGCAGUUGAAACUGGCAGUCUUGAGUACAGUAGAGGUGGGCGGAAUUAGUGGUGUAGCGGUGAAAUGCUUAGAUAUCACGAAGAACUCCGAUUGCGAAGGCAGUUCACUGGACUGCAACUGACACUGAGGCUCGAAAGUGUGGGUAUCAAACAGGAUUAGAUACCCCUGUAGUC
rnacentral:rRNA from 1 species